rnacentral:rRNA from 1 species
GACGUAGGAUGCAAGCGUUGUUCGGAAUUAUUGGGCGUAAAGCGUGCGUAGGCGGCUUGUUAAGUCUGGUGUGAAAGCUAGGGGCUCAACCCCUGUGUUGCACUGGAAACUGGCAGGCUUGAGUGCGGUAGGGGAAGGUGGAAUUCCGAGUGUAGCGGUGAAAUGCGUAGAUAUUCGGAAGAACACCGGUGGCGAAGGCGACCUUCUGGGCCGCCACUGACGCUGAGGCACGAAAGCGUGGGGAGCAAACGGG